rnacentral:misc_RNA from 1 species
CCGGACUAAUAGUAAAAAUGUUAUGUUGUCUUGGCGAGAUAGGUUACCUUGACAAGUCGACAUAAUAAAAGUUAUGUUGUCAUGACAAGAUACUUUUUGCAUGUAAGUUAAGGCCUAUCUCUAUUACUACUUUUUUGUUAAAUUGGAUUUUAGUAUUUAAUAAUGUGCUGUUUUAUUUAGGUCUAUGAUAUUUGAUAGAGAGGCCUGAGGCCUAGGUUUGUUCCUUUUUUGGGUGUUGGUUUUGGGAAGAGGUUUCUUUUUAUUUUUUGUUAAUAACUUCAUGGAAUUUUACACAGAUUUUGGGUCUAUCUUUUUAACCAGUUUUGUACACACUGUACCUGUUUCAGAUGGACAACAAACACCAGGACCCAUUGUUGUACGUGUUCCAGAUAGGCCAAUUUGUACUGGAGCACCGUUGGCCACACCAGAAGAAUCAGCAACAAAAAAGAUCAAAGGAUGGGAAGAAGAAAUGGACAAUGACUUAGUAAAAGAGAUGCUCAAUUCCAACAUUUUUAGCUACAAAUAUAAUUCGAAGAGCCGGGGUGCGCAGUGGAAAUUGCUUGCAGAGAAGCUCAAUGAGUGCUGGGGGGAUGGUUUUCAGACAAAUGAAAGAGCCUUGAGAGAUAAGGACAAUGGAUUGAAAAAAAGAUUUAAAAAUAAAAUUAGAUAAGAAGAAGCAGCAUCGGGCAUUACACCACCAGAUUUAACGGAGCUCGAGAGGGGACUUGAGGAGUUAAUUGAAAAGGAAGAACAAGAUAAAAAUGAGGACAAGUUCAAGUCAGAAAAGGAGGAAGCUUUGAGUGCACAGGAUAGAUGCAUGAAGGGAAUGACACCCAAAAGAAAAGGGAGUGAAGAGGAAGUGUGUUCAAAGAGAGUUUCUAGAAAUGAUACUAUCACAUACCUUAGGGAAGAAAAUGGAAAGAAAAGACAAAUGGAGAAGAGAAGAAGCUGACAGAAAGGACCAACAAUUCAUGGCAGAGCUCGAGGUGAGAAAGUUGGAAUCAGAAGAGAGAAGAAUGCAAGCUGAAGCCCAAAACACUAUGUUUAAAGAACUAUUUAAUAUGCUUGCCCGAAAAUAAGCCACUGUAUUUGUGAGUCUUCUUUUUUCUGCCUCUAACUUUCUCACCUCAAGUUCUACUUACUGUAAACUUAUUAUUAGUAAAUUCAUGCACAUUCUCACCUAAAAAGAUAGACAUGUUCUAUAAAAGUAUAUAUCUCCCUCAAAUUGUAACCAUCUUUAAUACUAAUUGCCUACAAAAUGUUAUAUGUAGACAAACAAUUAAAUUAAUAUGACCAAAGCAAUUUAUAAAAUAAUGUGUAAAAUAAUCAAAACUAAAAAUUUAAUUAAUAAGCAAUUCGACGGUCGUUAAACCAUGCCUACAUGUGCAGUGGUAAAAUCCUACUUUACGCAAAUGUAGUUGCUAAACUGACCAAUUGGCCUUGUCUGUUUUGGUCACGUGGAUACCUAUUGCAAAUUAAUGCACUUUGAGUUGCGUUAAUAAAGAAUAAAAACAAUAUAACACUUUGACAUAGCCUUUCAUUUUGUUUAACAAAUCUUUAAUUACUACUGUAAUGUCAAGCAAAAGAUUUUUUUUAUUUGAAUGAUUUUUUUUACACAAUACAGUUUUUACAACCUAUAACACAUUAACUACAGUGUACGGUAAACUCUGUAGUUAACAUUAA